UCGAUCGUGUUUCUAAUCACAUUGUAUUUUAUGUUAAAGGACUUAACAUACGUAGUACUUAUCUUUGCAGUCAUGCUACCGCAUAACAUUACGUGAAAAGUAAAUAUAAAGUUUCAGAAGAAAUUCUUUGUUUAUAGCUAGCCUACGAUCACUGAUUCACCGAUUUGAAACUAUCUAUGUAUAAGUGCGAAGUUGGACUACGAUUGGACGAUGAUACCACACACUACUAUGUGUAUUACUUGCGAGCAUACAUAUUGUAUUCUUUUAAAGAAUGGCAAGUAGUAUAAAUUUAAAACAAGCGCGAUGUGCCUACCGAAUCGUCGACACGGCAUACGUACGUUUACGCGCGAAUUGUCGCGUAAAAAUAAAUAUUCCAUGGUUAUAAAAUGAAACAAGGUUUCACGCGCCAUGUAACUCGAUAUCCUUGGUCUCUCGCUUAAAAAUAUACGUCGUAUUCCUUGUAAAAUGGAACCUCUAAUUAAUUUUUAAAUACACGUAUUCGAAAGGAUAAGUAAAAACUUCUACAUUACGACACAAAUUUCACAAAUAAAUUUUUCUUUUAAUCGAUAUUAUUCUCAUUGUGCUUAGUAAUAUAUAAACAAAUAAUUAUAUUAAUAUUACAAUCAAUGU